UGCAUCCAAAACUAUUUAGCUAGAGUGUGGGAGAGGAAGAUGGAAUUAGUUGUGUAGGGGUAAAAUCNGUAGAGAUAACUAGGAAUACCAAAAGCGAAGGCAAUCUUCUGGAACAUUACUGACGCUGAGGCGCGAAAGCGUGGGGAGCAAACAGGAUUAGAUACCCUGGUAGUCCACGCCCUAAACGAUGAAUGUUAGUCGUCGGGUAGCUAGUCUAUUCGGUGAUGCAGCUAACGCAUUAAACAUUCCGCCUGGGGAGUACGGUCGCAAGAUUAAAACUCAAAGGAAUAGACGGGGACCCGCACAAGUGGUGGAGCAUGUGGUUUAAUUCGAAGAUACGCGAAGAACCUUACCUAGCCUUGACAUAUAUUAGAACACACCAGAGAUGGAGUGGUGCCUUCGGGAGCUUUUAUACAGGUGCUGCACGGCUGUCGUCAGCUCGUGUCGUGAGAUGUUGGGUUAAGUCCCGCAACGAGCGCAACCCUCGUCACUAGUUACUAACGGUUCGGCCGAGGACUCUAGUGAGACUGCCUUCGUAAGGAGGAGGAAGGUGAGGACGACGUCAAGUCAUCAUGGCCCUUACGGCUAGGGCAACACACGUGCUACAAUGGCCAGGACAGUGAGACGCGACACUGCGAGGUGGAGCAAAUCUAUAAACCUGGUCUCAGUUCGGAUUGUAGUCUGCAACUCGACUACAUGAAGCUGGAAUCACUAGUAAUCGUAGAUCAGCUAUGCUACGGUGAAUACGUUCCCGGGUCUUGUACUCACCGCCCGUCACACCAUGGGAGUUGAUUUCACCCGAAGCGGGGAAGCUAAACUGGCUACCCUCCACGGUGGAAUUAGCGACUGGGGUGAAGUCGUAACAAGGUAAC
rnacentral:rRNA from 1 species